CACGGGGGGAACGAGCGUUGUUCGGAUUUACUGGGCGUAAAGGGUGCGUAGGCGGGCCGGUCAGUCUGGUGUGAAAGCUCACGGCUUAACCGUGAAACUGCAUCCGAAACUACCGGUCUUGAGUACGGGAGAGGAAAGUGGAAUUUCAGGUGUAGCGGUGAAAUGCGUAGAUAUCUGGAGGAACACCGGUGGCGAAGGCGGCUUUCUGGACCGAUACUGACGCUGAGGCACGAAAGCCGGGGGAGCAAACAGG
rnacentral:rRNA from 1 species